rnacentral:lncRNA from 1 species
GGGGGGGGGGGGGGGGGGGGGGGGGGGGGGGGGGGGGGGGGGGGGGGGGGGGGGGGGGGGGGGGGGGGGGGGGGGGGGGGGGGGGGGGGGGGGGGGGGGGGGGGGGAAAAAAAAAAAAAAAACCACUUCCCGGAGACGUCCAAGAUAUUUGGGGCAAGUUCCCCCUCCCCGGUCACCUGUGGGAUCCUGCGGGGCAGAAGCUCCACGGGCCGGGACGGCUGCGGACACAGGGCGCGGUGGACCCGCGAAUUUCCUCUUCUUCCUCUUUCUUCUUCUUUUUCUUCUUCUCCCCUGUGGAAGGUCAGACGGCUACAGAAGCUGAGCUGGGUAGCGCCGCAGACCUCCCGGCCCUGGUACAGUGGAAGCCGUGGGAGAGAUAAACUCAAGUCAAGAACAAAAAUGAAGACUCCUCGUCCUCUUCCAGCUUCUCCUCCUUUUCCGGCUCCUGCUCCUCCUCUUCCUCUAUCCUUGCUCUGCCGUCAGCUGCCCCCCUUGCGCGCCAUCCGUUCGGCUGCGGGCGAGCGGCUCUGGCGUGAGACGGGAAAGGGCGUGAUGUGAGCGGGGCAAGAAGGGAGAAGACGGGGGGGACCCCCAAACGGAGCGAUGGAGGAGAGGGGUGUUCCAGCGGACGGGAAAGGCCGAGUGUCACUUCCAGAACGGCGUUGCGGAGUGAA